rnacentral:rRNA from 1 species
CAGCCGCCGCGGGAAUACGUAGGUCCCGAGCGUUGUCCGGAUUUAUUGGGCGUAAAGCGAGCGCAGGCGGUUAGAUAAGUCUGAAGUUAAAGGCUGUGGCUUAACCAUAGUACGCUUUGGAAACUGUUUAACUUGAGUGCAAGAGGGGAGAGUGGAAUUCCAUGUGUAGCGGUGAAAUGCGUAGAUAUAUGGAGGAACACCGGUGGCGAAAGCGGCUCCCUGGCUUGUGACUGACGCUGAGGCUCGAAAGCGUGGGGAGCAAACAGGAUUAGAGACCCCUGUAGUCCCUGUCUCUUAUACA